rnacentral:rRNA from 1 species
UACGGAGGGUGCGAGCGUUGUCCGGAAUCACUGGGCGUAAAGAGCUUGUAGGCGGUUUGUCGCGUCUGCUGUGAAAUCUCAAGGCUCAACCUUGAGCUUGCAGUGGGUACGGGCAGACUAGAGUGUGGUAGGGGAGACUGGAAUUCCCGGUGUAGCGGUGAAAUGCGUAGAGAUCGGGAGGAAGGCCGGUGGCGAAGGCGGCGCUCUGGAACAUUUCUGACGCUGAGGCUCGAAAGCGUGGGGAGCAAACAGG